UCACACUGUAGCACGGUGAAACCGCGAAUGGCUCAUUAAAUCAGUCGAGGUUUACUAGAUGAAAAGUAUCCUACUUGGAUAACUGUGGCAAUUCUAGAGCUAAUACAUGCAACCAAGCUCCGACCCUCGCGGAAAGAGCGCUUUUAUUAGUUCAAAACCAAUCGUCGUACCCUUCGCGGGGUGCGGCGUCCCGAUUGGUGACUCUGGAUAACUUUGUGCUGAUCGCAUGGCCUUUGCGCCGGCGACGCAUCUUUCAAAUGUCUGCCCUAUCAAAUGUCGAUGGUACGUGAUAUGCCUACCAUGUUUGUAACGGGUAACGGGGAAUCAGGGUUCGAUUCCGGAGAGGGAGCAUGAGAAAGGGCUACCACAUCCAAGGAAGGCAGAGGCGCGCC
rnacentral:rRNA from 1 species